UACGAAGGGGACUAGCGUUGUUCGGAAUUACUGGGCGUAAAGCGCACGUAGGCGGAUUUGUUAGUCAGGGGUGAAAUCCCGGGGCUCAACCUCGGAACUGCCUUUGAUACUGCGAGUCUCGAGUCCGAUAGAGGUGGGUGGAAUUCCUAGUGUAGAGGUGAAAUUCGUAGAUAUUAGGAAGAACACCGGUGGCGAAGGCGGCCCACUGGAUCGGUACUGACGCUGAGGUGCGAAAGCGUGGGGAGCAAACAGG
rnacentral:rRNA from 1 species